UACGUAGGGUGCAAGCGUUGUCCGGAAUUAUUGGGCGUAAAGAGCUCGUAGGCGGUCUGUCGCGUCUGCUGUGAAAACUCAGGGCUUAACCCUGAGCUUGCAGUGGGUACGGGCAGACUAGAGUGCGGUAGGGGAGACUGGAAUUCCUGGUGUAGCGGUGAAAUGCGCAGAUAUCAGGAGGAACACCGAUGGCGAAGGCGGGUCUCUGGGCCGAUACUGACGCUGAGGAGCGAAAGCGUGGGGAGCGAACAGG
rnacentral:rRNA from 1 species